rnacentral:snRNA from 1 species
GUAUUCACCUGGAAGAGGAGAUACCAGGAUCAAGAAGGUGGCUUUCCCAGAGUGAGAUUUUCCCCACUGCACUCUAGGUGUGCUGACCCCUGAGAUUUCCUGAGGUGUCCGGCAGGGAAAUAAACCAUGAGAAGGUGAGAAUGAAAACUUGAUUCAAAUUGAUUC